rnacentral:rRNA from 1 species
GGGUUGUGAGGUUAAGCGACUAAGCGUACACGGUGGAUGCCCUGGCAGUCAGAGGCGAUGAAGGGCGUGCUAAUCUGCGAUAAGCGCCGGUAAGGUGAUAUGAACCGUUAUAACCGGCGAUACCCGAAUGGGGAAACCCAGUGUGACUCGUCACACUAUCAUUAACUGAAUCCAUAGGUUAAUGAGGCGAACCGGGGGAACUGAAACAUCUAAGUACCCCGAGGAAAAGAAAUCAACCGAGAUUCCCCCAGUAGCGGCGAGCGAACGGGGAGGAGCCCAGAGCCUGAAUCAGCAUGUGUGUUAGUGGAAGCGUCUGGAAAGGCGCGCGAUACAGGGUGACAGCCCCGUACACAAAAGCGCAUGUGCUGUGAGCUCGAUGAGUAGGGCGGGACACGUGGUAUCCUGUCUGAAUAUGGGGGGACCAUCCUCCAAGGCUAAAUACUCCUGACUGACCGAUAGUGAACCAGUACCGUGAGGGAAAGGCGAAAAGAACCCCGGCGAGGGGAGUGAAAAAGAACCUGAAACCGUGUACGUACAAGCAGUGGGAGCCCCACCACCAAAGCAUUUGCUGUACCGCGUUGACGGAGCGAAGCGACGUCAAACCGAUAAAACAGCAGUGUAAAGUGAGCCGCAGGGCGCUUUGCGCGACAGCGCAAAGGCAGGCGGUUUCGCGUAGCGAAAGCGAAUGCUUUGGGGUGGGGUGACUGCGUACCUUUUGUAUAAUGGGUCAGCGACUUAUAUUCUGUAGCAAGGUUAACCGAAUAGGGGAGCCGGAGGGAAACCGAGUCUUAAUUGGGCGUUAAGUUGCAGGGUAUAGACCCGAAACCCGGUGAUCUAGCCAUGGGCAGGUUGAAGGUUGGGUAACACUAACUGGAGGACCGAACCGACUAAUGUUGAAAAAUUAGCGGAUGACCUGUGGCUGGGGGUGAAAGGCCAAUCAAACCGGGAGAUAGCUGGUUCUCCCCGAAAGCUAUUUAGGUAGCGCCUCGUGAAUUCAUCUCCGGGGGUAGAGCACUGUUUCGGCUAGGGGGCCAUCCCGGCUUACCAACCCGAUGCAAACUGCGAAUACCGGAGAAUGUUAUCACGGGAGACACACGGCGGGUGCUAACGUC